rnacentral:rRNA from 3 species
GGUUAAGCGACUAAGCGUACACGGUGGAUGCCCUGGCAGUCAGAGGCGAUGAAGGACGUGCUAAUCUGCGAUAAGCGCCGGUAAGGUGAUAUGAACCGUUAUAACCGGCGAUUUCCGAAUGGGGAAACCCAGUGUGAUUCGUCACACUAUCAUUAACUGAAUCCAUAGGUUAAUGAGGCGAACCGGGGGAACUGAAACAUCUAAGUACCCCGAGGAAAAGAAAUCAACCGAGAUUCCCCCAGUAGCGGCGAGCGAACGGGGAGGAGCCCAGAGCCUGAAUCAGCAUGUGUGUUAGUGGAAGCGUCUGGAAAGGCGCGCGAUACAGGGUGACAGCCCCGUACACAAAAGCGCAUGUGCUGUGAGCUCGAUGAGUAGGGCGGGACACGUGGUAUCCUGUCUGAAUAUGGGGGGACCAUCCUCCAAGGCUAAAUACUCCUGACUGACCGAUAGUGAACCAGUACCGUGAGGGAAAGGCGAAAAGAACCCCGGCGAGGGGAGUGAAAAAGAACCUGAAACCGUGUACGUACAAGCAGUGGGAGCACCCUUCGGGGUGUGACUGCGUACCUUUUGUAUAAUGGGUCAGCGACUUAUAUUCUGUAGCAAGGUUAACCGUAUAGGGGAGCCGGAGGGAAACCGAGUCUUAAUUGGGCGUUAAGUUGCAGGGUAUAGACCCGAAACCCGGUGAUCUAGCCAUGGGCAGGUUGAAGGUUGGGUAACACUAACUGGAGGACCGAACCGACUAAUGUUGAAAAAUUAGCGGAUGACCUGUGGCUGGGGGUGAAAGGCCAAUCAAACCGGGAGAUAGCUGGUUCUCCCCGAAAGCUAUUUAGGUAGCGCCUCGUGAAUUCAUCUCCGGGGGUAGAGCACUGUUUCGGCUAGGGGGCCAUCCCGGCUUACCAACCCGAUGCAAACUGCGAAUACCGGAGAAUGUUAUCACGGGAGACACACGGCGGGUGCUAACGUCCGUCGUGAAGAGGGAAACAACCCAGACCGCCAGCUAAGGUCCCAAAGUCAUGGUUAAGUGGGAAACGAUGUGGGAAGGCCCAGACAGCCAGGAUGUUGGCUUAGAAGCAGCCAUCAUUUAAAGAAAGCGUAAUAGCUCACUGGUCGAGUCGGCCUGCGCGGAAGAUGUAACGGGGCUAAACCAUGCACCGAAGCUGCGGCAGCGAACGUAUCACCCAAGACAACUUUACGGAGUUGACGAUUGACGGAGCGAAGCGACGUCAAAGCGUUCAUUAAAGUCGAGUUGGCUUAGGGAUACGUUCGUUGGGUAGGGGAGCGUUCUGUAAGCCUGUGAAGGUGUGUCGUGAGGCAUGCUGGAGGUAUCAGAAGUGCGAAUGCUGACAUAAGUAACGAUAAAGCGGGUGAAAAGCCCGCUCGCCGGAAGACCAAGGGUUCCUGUCCAACGUUAAUCGGGGCAGGGUGAGUCGACCCCUAAGGCGAGGCCGAAAGGCGUAGUCGAUGGGAAACGGGUUAAUAUUCCCGUACUUGGUGUUACUGCGAAGGGGGGACGGAGAAGGCUAUGUUGGCCGGGCGACGGUUGUCCCGGUUUAAGCGUGUAGGUGUGUGUUCCAGGUAAAUCCGGUUCACUUUAACACUGAGGCGUGACGACGAGGCACUACGGUGCUGAAGCAACAAAUGCCCUGCUUCCAGGAAAAGCCUCUAAGCAUCAGGUAACACGAAAUCGUACCCCAAACCGACACAGGUGGUCAGGUAGAGAAUACCAAGGCGCUUGAGAGAACUCGGGUGAAGGAACUAGGCAAAAUGGUGCCGUAACUUCGGGAGAAGGCACGCUGACACGUAGGUGAAGUGAUUUACUCAUGGAGCUGAAGUCAGUCGAAGAUACCAGCUGGCUGCAACUGUUUAUUAAAAACACAGCACUGUGCAAACACGAAAGUGGACGUAUACGGUGUGACGCCUGCCCGGUGCCGGAAGGUUAAUUGAUGGGGUCAGCGUAAGCGAAGCUCCUGAUCGAAGCCCCGGUAAACGGCGGCCGUAACUAUAACGGUCCUAAGGUAGCGAAAUUCCUUGUCGGGUAAGUUCCGACCUGCACGAAUGGCGUAAUGAUGGCCAGGCUGUCUCCACCCGAGACUCAGUGAAAUUGAACUCGCUGUGAAGAUGCAGUGUACCCGCGGCAAGACGGAAAGACCCCGUGAACCUUUACUAUAGCUUGACACUGAACAUUGAGCCUUGAUGUGUAGGAUAGGUGGGAGGCUUUGAAGUGUGGACGCCAGUCUGCAUGGAGCCGACCUUGAAAUACCACCCUUUAAUGUUUGAUGUUCUAACGUGGACCCGUAAUCCGGGUUGCGGACAGUGUCUGGUGGGUAGUUUGACUGGGGCGGUCUCCUCCUAAAGAGUAACGGAGGAGCACGAAGGUUGGCUAAUCCUGGUCGGACAUCAGGAGGUUAGUGCAAUGGCAUAAGCCAGCUUGACUGCGAGCGUGACGGCGCGAGCAGGUGCGAAAGCAGGUCAUAGUGAUCCGGUGGUUCUGAAUGGAAGGGCCAUCGCUCAACGGAUAAAAGGUACUCCGGGGAUAACAGGCUGAUACCGCCCAAGAGUUCAUAUCGACGGCGGUGUUUGGCACCUCGAUGUCGGCUCAUCACAUCCUGGGGCUGAAGUAGGUCCCAAGGGUAUGGCUGUUCGCCAUUUAAAGUGGUACGCGAGCUGGGUUUAGAACGUCGUGAGACAGUUCGGUCCCUAUCUGCCGUGGGCGCUGGAGAACUGAGGGGGGCUGCUCCUAGUACGAGAGGACCGGAGUGGACGCAUCACUGGUGUUCGGGUUGUCAUGCCAAUGGCACUGCCCGGUAGCUAAAUGCGGAAGAGAUAAGUGCUGAAAGCAUCUAAGCACGAAACUUGCCCCGAGAUGAGUUCUCCCUGAGACUUAGAGUCUCCUGAAGGAACGUUGAAGACGACGACGUUGAUAGGCCGGGUGUGUAAGCGCAGCGAUGCGUUGAGCUAACCGGUACUAAUGAACCGUGAGGCUUAACCUU